CAGCGAUGCCGCGUGAGUGAAGAAGGCCCUUGGGUUGUAAAGCUCUUUCGUCGGGGAAGAAAAUGACUGUACCCGAAUAAGAAGGUCCGGCUAACUUCGUGCCAGCAGCCGCGGUAAUACGAAGGGACCUAGCGUAGUUCGGAAUUACUGGGCUUAAAGAGCUCGUAGGUGGUUAAAAAAGUUGGUGGUGAAAUCCCAAGGCUUAACCUUGGAACUGCCACCAAAACUUUUUAACUAGAGUAUGAUAGAGGAAAGUGGAAUUUCUAGUGUAGAGGUGAAAUUCGUAGAUAUUAGAAAGAACACCAAUUGCGAAGGCAGCUUUCUGGAUCAUUACUGACACUGAGGUGCGAAAGCAUGGGUAGCGAAGAGGAUUAGAUACCCUCGUAGUCCAUGCCGUAAACGAUGUGUGCUAGACGUUGGAAAUUUAUUUU
rnacentral:rRNA from 1 species